ACGGAAGGCAGCAGUGGGGAAUAUUGGGCAAUGGGCGAAAGCCUGACCCAGCGACGCCGCGUGAAGGAAGAAGGUCUUCGGAUUGUAAACUUCUUUUAUAUGGGACGAAACAAAUGACGGUACCAUAUGAAUAAGCCACGGCUAACUACGUGCCAGCAGCCGCGGUAAUACGUAGGUGGCGAGCGUUAUCCGGAUUUACUGGGUGUAAAGGGUGUGUAGGCGGGAUUGCAAGUCAGAUGUGAAAAUUAUGGGCUUAACUCAUAACCUGCAUUUGAAACUGUGAUUCUUGAGGGUCGGAGAGGUAACUGGAAUUCCUGGUGUAGCGGUGAAAUGCGUAGAUAUCAGGAGGAACACCGGUGGCGAAGGCGGGUUACUGGACGAUUACUGACGCUGAGACACGAAAGCGUGGGGAGCAAACAGGAUUAGAUACCCUGGUA
rnacentral:rRNA from 1 species